rnacentral:rRNA from 1 species
ACGCUCGACACCUACGGGAGGCAGCAGUCGGGAAUAUUGCGCAAUGGAGGAAACUCUGACGCAGUGACGCCGCGUGCAGGAAGAAGGUUUUCGGAUUGUAAACUGCUUUAGACAGGGAAGAAGAAGUGACAGUGCCUGUAGAAUAAGCUCCGGCUAACUACGUACCAGCAGCCGCGGUAAUCUGAGCGGGCUGGCAAGGC